rnacentral:rRNA from 2 species
GCGACCCCAGGAUGGGCGAGACCACCCGCCGAG